rnacentral:tRNA from 1 species
GGAGCGGUGUCCGAGUGGCUGAAGGGACCGCACUGGAAAUGCGGUGUGCGGGUUACCGCACCGAGGGUUCGAAUCCCUCCCGCUCCG